AUCGCUUCUCGGCCUUUUGGCUAAGAUCAAGUGUAGAAAAAUUAACUCUUUCAAGCUAUUCAGCUAUUGGGUUUGUGAAAUUUCAUUUUGUGCAGGGAGAUGGCAUCUGCAUUUCCAUCCCAACUAGCAGCCUCACAAUUAUUUAUCAUUGGUCACAAAGGAAUUAGAAAUUUAUCCUUC
rnacentral:snRNA from 1 species